rnacentral:rRNA from 1 species
AACGAACGCUGGCGGCAGGCCUAAAACAUGCAAGUCGAACGGGUGUAGCAAUACAUCAGUGGCGCACGGGUGAGUAACGCGUGGGAACGUGCCCUUCAGUACGGGACAACGUCGGGGAAACUGACGCUAAUACCGGUAUAAUGACUCCGGUCCAAAGAUUUAUCGCUGAAAGGAGCGGCCCGNGUCUGAUUAGCUAGUUGGUNAGGUAAUGGCUCACCAAGGCUACGAUCAGUAGCAGGUCUGAGAGGAUGAUCUGCCACACUGGGACUGAGACACGGCCCAGACUCCUACGGGAGGCAGCAGUUAGGAAUAUUGGACAAUGGGCGAAAGCCUGAUCCAGCCAUGCGCGUGUGUGAUGAAGGCCCUAGGGUUGUAAAGCACUUUCAGC